rnacentral:rRNA from 1 species
ACGAACGCUGGCGGCGUGCUUAACACAUGCAAGUCGAGCGGUAAGGCCCUUUCGGGGGUACACGAGCGGCGAACGGGUGAGUAACACGUGGGUGACCUGCCCUCAGCUCUGGGAUAAGCCUGGGAAACCGGGUCUAAUACCGGAUAUGACUCCAUGACGCAUGUUGUGGGGUGGAAAGCCUUGUGCGGCUGAGGAUGGGCCCGCGGCCUAUCAGCUUGGUUGGUGGGGUGAUGGCCUACCAAGGCGACGACGGGUAGCCGGCCUGAGAGGGCGACCGGCCACACUGGGACU